AGAUAUAAGAAGAAGGACCCCCCUGAAGCAGCUACUCUGGGAAGUAUGGAGAGGAAAGUCUCAACACCCAGCAAGGGAAAAGCUGCUAAACUCUGUCAUCGGUUAUCUCCAAUUGAACCUGUGUCUGAGGGGAGGCAAUGAGUGAGGACCAAGCUUUGGAUCCUUUGGAAGAAAGUUUCAAAUCCAUGGAUCUUGCAGUGGAUGCUAUUAUACUGGAUGAGGAACGAGCGAACAACUUGCUCAACAGUGUGUCAACUUCAGAACUGGAGAGUUUCCAGAACUGCAUCUUGAUGUAUGCUGGAAAAAGGUUUGCCUUCUCUCCUCCGGUUUAUGAAGCAAGGUGUCUUCUCGCUGCUUUAGAUUACAACCACCACAAUCACCGACCAGAUUACAUUGACCGGAAUAAUGAGUUAUCGCCUCAGCUACAUGAAGCAAGAAAGGGAGAAGACAAGACAGUAUUAUCUUCCACACAUUUUUUAUUAUGAACAUAUAAAUAAAUAAUAAAAAAAAAUUCAACAACG